rnacentral:rRNA from 1 species
UACGAAGGGGGCAAGCGUUACUCGGAUUUACUGGGCGUAAAGCGUGCGUAGGCGGUGGGUUAAGUCCGCCGUGAAAGCCCCGGGCUCAACCUGGGAAUGGCGAUGGAGACUGGCUCGCUAGAGUGCGGUAGAGGAGAGUGGAAUUCCCGGUGUAGCAGUGAAAUGCGUAGAGAUCGGGAGGAACAUCAGUUGCGAAGGCGGCGCUCUGGACCAGCACUGACACUGAGGCACGAAAGCGUGGGGAGCAAACAGG